rnacentral:rRNA from 1 species
AUUGAACGCUGGCGGCAGGCCUAACACAUGCAAGUCGAACGGUAACAGGAAGAAGCUUGCUUCUUUGCUGACGAGUGGCGGACGGGUGAGUAAUGUCUGGGAAACUGCCUGAUGGAGGGGGAUAACUACUGGAAACGGUAGCUAAUACCGCAUAACGUCGCAAGACCAAAGAGGGGGACCUUCGGGCCUCUUGCCAUCGGAUGUGCCCAGAUGGGAUUAGCUAGUAGGUGGGGUAACGGCUCACCUAGGCGACGAUCCCUAGCUGGUCUGAGAGGAUGACCAGCCACGCUGGAACUGGGACAGGCUCCAGACUCCUACGGGAGGAAGCAGUGGGGAAUAUUGCACAAUGGGCGAAAGCCGGAUGCAGCCAUGCCGCUGGUAUGAAGAAGGCCUUCGGGUUGUAAAGUACUUUCGGAGGGGAGAAAGGGAGUAAAGUUAAUACGUUUGCUCAUUGACGUUACCUGCAGAGGAAGCACCGGCUAACUCCGUG